AAUAAAGUUCUUAAUAAUAAGUUACAAAAAUGGUUUUUAAGACUUUUAUAAUUUUUAUAGAAAAAGAAAACCACUUAUAAUAAUGCGAACAAAUUAGCUUUAUAUUUCGCGAGUUGAUUACGCUUGUUGUAAUCAGCCAUUUUCUUUUUAUUUAAAUAUUAUAUACAGCUAUAUAAAUGCACAGGUAAAAUGUAGUUUUACAAAUUCGCACACGAACACAAACUUAAGUCGAAAAAGAUACACAACGAAAGUGCUAACCAGUUAAUCGGUCAAUAAUACUAUACAAAUCUCAAUAUUCUUGAAAAUGUUUUCCAAAAUAUAUUCUUUUGUAUUAAUUAUUAUGUGUGGUUUUUUUUUUUGGAUAUGUUUUUGGAAAUACUUUUUUAAUUGACACGAAUGGAAUAAAUAUUGAAUAUCCAACUGAUAACAAUGAAUUUCAUACCAAUGCGAAGUGGAUUACGGAGACACAUUGUUUUAGCUCUCCAAAAGAAUAUUUAUAUUGUGGUCCUUUAAAAUUGUUACAUUACAGAUUAUCUCAACAUCAGGACUUGGUUUUGUGAGAUUACCGCGAUUCUGAAUUUCUGUCAAACUAUUCUUAUGAGUAGAUGAAAUUAAGCUAAGUUUACAUUCAUCACAAUGAAUUUUUGUAGCCACCUUUUUGGCUACAAACCCACUAUGUAUUUUGAUACUCCAUUAACAAAUUUGCUCAAAUGUAUACAAUUCUCAAAGUAGUCAUGAUCAACCAAUUUUUUUUUUAAUUCCAAAUACAUAUGUAUGUUUUUAUGUAUAUUUAAAUAUUUAUAUUAAUACAAGUUAAGAUACUUUUUUAAAAUUGUUGGAACAGCAUCUUUUUUAAGAGUUUUAUAUUUAUUUCCACAGUUAAAGUUACUAGGAUCAAAAUGGCCAGAACAAAUUCUUUGCCAUUCAGAUACGCGAUCAAUUUUAAAAUUUUUUUUCCAUUUCAAUAAUUUGGUUAAAUCUUUGGGAAAUCUAUAAUUAUAAAUACAUUAUAAAAUUAAUAAGACAAUUCUACAUUUUAUUAAAUAUUGUGAUAUCAAUCUCUCAAUAACUUACUUAUGAAAUGAUAGAUGGGGAUUCAUAUUGGCACUCUUACGACAUAUAUAACAACGCAGCUACAUAAUUAAUUUUUGUAAUUUUUGUGAAAUGUAUAAAAAAUUAAAUGUUUACCUACAGUAUAUACUACAUAUCCAGACGUUAUAACUUAUUACAAAUUAUAAUUUAUAAAACCCAGUACAGUGGGGUCGCGGUACACUGGAGACGUACCAUAUUUUUGAUAUUAAAGUAUAUUACAUAAGCUUUAAUUUAAUAUAUAUAUAUAAGUGUCUGUGCAAUGCCGGCUAUAUUUUUUCUUUAGUAUCGGCAAUUUGCGAAUUUUUCUUGUAACAUUUUUGUUCGUUUAAUAACUACGAUUAACUAUACGUAUUUGGCCAUGCCUUAGCGGAAGGAAAAGGAGAAUAUAAAAUGUGGAAAUUGAGCCUUACAAUAUAUUAAAUAGAAA